UACGAAGGUUGCUAGCGUUGUUCGGAAUCACUGGGCUUAAAGAGCACGUAGGCGGCUCAUCAAGUGCCUUGUGAAAUCCCCGGGCUCAACCCGGGAAUUGCUUGGCAUACUGUAGAGCUUGAGGCAGGUAGAGGCGCGCGGAACUCUUGGUGGAGCGGUGGAAUGCGUAGAUAUCAAGAGGAACGCCGGUGGCGAAAGCGGCGCGCUGGGCUUGUCCUGACGCUGAGGUGCGAAAGCCAGGGGAGCAAACGGG
rnacentral:rRNA from 1 species